rnacentral:rRNA from 1 species
UACAGAGGGUGCGAGCGUUGUUCGGAAUUAUUGGGCGUAAAGGGCGCGUAGGCGGUGCGGUAAGUCACCUGUGAAAUCUCCUGGCUCAACUGGGAGCUUGCAGGCGAAGCUGCCGUGCUGGAGUGUGGGAGAGGUGCGUGGAAUUCCUGGUGUAGCGGUGAAAUGCGUAGAUAUCAGGAGGAACACCUGUGGCGAAAGCGGCGCACUGGACCACAACUGACGCUGAGGCGCGAAAGCUAGGGGAGCAAACAGG